UGUAACUUCAGCUAGCAUUGGAGCUUUGAAUCCUCAGUAUUUGUAUUAUAGAACAUUAUGUGUACAUAUCUAUGUGCCUACACACAGUUCUCAUGACAAAUCGGAAGCCGCAAUUCACUACUGUCUUGCAAAGAAAAAUAUUUUUCCCUGAGCAAGCUUGAAAGAGCAAAACUAAAGGUUAAAACCACAGAAAGAAGCUCACAGGAAGAAAAAUCUUCCAUGAAAAUUUGCUAUUUUCACUUUAUCUGCAUUCAUCAGACCCCAUCAAACAAAGCUAUUUUCUACCAGUCUAAAAGAGAAAAUGACAUAUUACAACAUUUACUUUUCUUCUGCACUAGAAUUGACACUGAAAUGCAGACCCCUUCUGUGAUACAGAAAUAUACAAGAGCUUCCAGCUCAGAUGUGGUUAAGCCUUUUUGUUUUAUCUCAACAUUAAAUAGUAUUCACCUUCCAUUGUACCUCAUAUAGACUGAAAUUUGGAUGCUUCGUACUUGUCUUUUUUCUAUUAUUGCCUAGCUGAGAUUACUU